rnacentral:lncRNA from 1 species
GUAAACAACUUUUCAUUUUUUAGACUUUCAGUCUUCCGUUUUGAGGAACGUCAUCCCCUUCUAGUCCAUUCUCUCUCUUUCUCUCGCGUCCCUCUUGGUUUCCUCCAAAUCGGCAAAUCUGAUUCCCAAUCUCACCUUAUCGGCUUCUCCUCCCUCUACUGUCCAUUCGACAGCCAAUGCUCACUCCUUGCACUAUCAAUAGGCGAAGACACUUCGAAGAAAGAUGAGCGCGGCACUUAACGGUCCUUUCCUUUUGGCAGUUCCUGCUCAACUUCGCUAGCGGUGCUUUCCUCUCCGGCAGUCCUUGCGCCAUGUAGCUACUUAUUGUUGGAGCAGAAGAGGAAGUGAUGACAAGUCUAAGUUCCGAAUCCUUCUUGUAAGUUUAUGUGUAUAUUGUAUCCUUGAGAUUGUACAUAGAGCCCAUCAAGUUGUUAACUCCUACACCUUAGUUUUUCCAGUUUGCUAAAGUUAAAGAGAAGAAAGAAAAUUUUAAACGUAUAGGGUUCUGAUUUAAAUUGGGGAAGAAAUGAGGAAAGGAAAGACUAUGUUUUCUAACCCUAUUAUCAAUUUGAUAUGUGGUCGACUAGAAUACCUCAUAUUAGUAAUUGUUGGUUUUCUUGACAGACAAUUUCUUGUCUUCCAGAAUUUUGGACAGCAUGGUAAGGAGCUGAUUACAUUAAAACUUUGCUCAUCGUUUGCAGAACAAUUGAUAGAUUUAUAAAUAGCUAGCAACAAUUAUCAAAA